rnacentral:rRNA from 1 species
UACGGAGGGGGCUAGCGUUGUUCGGAAUUACUGGGCGUAAAGGGCGCGUAGGCGGUUCUGUAAGUCCCGCGUGAAAUCCCCCGGCUCAACUGGGGAACUGCGCGGGAAACUGUGGGGCUAGAGUUCAGGAGAGGGAAGCGGAAUUCCGGGUGUAGCGGUGAAAUGCGUAGAUAUCCGGAGGAACACCGGUGGCGAAGGCGGCUUCCUGGACUGACACUGACGCUGAGGCGCGAAAGCUAGGGGAGCAAACGGG